GCGGCCUUGAGGCCACGAAGCCUGGGGAUGGGCUGUGACCCUAUGAUCAACUCCAUUCUCACCGAGCUCACCAAUUAAAGAGUCGAGGAAAAUUGAAAUCACCGAGGACAGGGCGGAAGGCCAUGGAAGAAAACAAAAGGGGAGGAGCACCAGGGGGAGGUGACGGGCAGCAGGUUCAUCAUACAUCAGAUAUGCUCCCACAUAUCCAUCACCCUCCAAUUUAAAGGCACGUGCGUGAAAGAAAACAUUGUGUAAGGACGUAACUCACCAGCUUCAGGAGACCAGUGGUGUGUUUCAGGAACAGUUGACUGCAUUGUCACAAGGGAAACAGAGGCUUUUCACACAGGCUGCAAGGUUCCUAUUGCCAGGGGACCUGCAGGGGCCUUCUGUGUCACUCGCCAAGACCAUUUAGCACAGAAGCCGCGAGUAUUGCGCCACCCGGCAGUGUAUGAAGAGUCGCUGCUUUCAGUUUGUUAAAGUGCCUCACUAACGGGUCAGCCAAAAUCACUGCAGCAACAGUGCAACCACAGCACCACUGCUGUGUGCUCCACUGCGCACAGACAGACUGCCGGUGCCCGCAGAGCAAAAUUGCGCAUUGCACAGUGCGAGUUCAAGCACCCCAUCCACCACCUUAAACAUUUCCUCCUUCCACCGCCCGCACACAGCGAUUGCAGUGUGCAUUGUCUAUAGAACGCACUGCAGGCGACUCUGACAGCACCUCUGCCAUCAAAGGCAGUAGGGGAACACCACCACCAGCAGGCUCCCCUCCAUGUCACAGGCCAUCCCGAAUGAUAUCAGCAUUCCUUCGCCGUCACUGGGUCGAAGUCCUGGAACUCCUUCCACAACGGCUCUGUGGGAGAAACCUUCACCCGAAGGACUGCAGGGGAUUUGAGCGGGCAGCUCACCCCAUCUUCCCAAGGGUCAUCGGGGAUGGGCAAUAAAUGCUGGUCUUGCCAACAGGGAUGAUUAAAAAAAAAUAAAGCUGUGUUUGCCGAGGACUGAUGCUGUGAGGAACUACGACCCAGAAAGCAAAACAAGAAUUUGAUGCAGGUGAUAAAUCACGAGAGGUGAGAGCUCUAAUAGCCCUUCCCACAUGCAUUAGCGCUGUGAUCUAAUCGGGACUGCAGUGUGUUCACAGGCUCUGGGAAUUAUUGCGCUGAAUUGUGAUGCAUUGCAUGGUUCAAGUGGCAAUUGUAAGUGUUUUCCUGCUGUAAGCCAUUAUUAAUCAUCUUGAUGCUAUCAGGUCAAUCAAAUUUUGCCAUCUUGUGAUGACACCAUUAAGCCCUGAAGCUCACAGAACACAGACUGUUCAGCACAGGAACACGCCCUUUGGCUCAAGGUGUCCGAGCCAGAUACAAUGCUGAAUUAAAUCCCUUCUGCCUGUUCAUGAUCCAUAUCCCUCCAUUCCCUAUUCAUGUGCCUGUCUGAAAAACUCUUAACACCAGCAUCGUAUCUGCUUACACCACCACUGCUGGCAGCACGUUCCACACCCACCACUCUGUAAAAUAAAACUUGCCCCUCACUUUUCCUUUAAACUCUCCUCCUCUUAUCUUAAAUUCAUCCCCUCGGAUAAUCAACAGUUCUAUCCUGGGAAAGAGAUACCAUUUGUCUACCUUAUCUAUGCCUCUCAAUUUAAUAAAUCUCUGUUAGGUCUCCUGUCAGCCUCUGAUGGCCCAGAGGAAACAACCCAAGUUUGUCCAACCUCUCCUUGUAGCUCAUAUGCCCAGAUAAUCGAAGCAGGCUUGAUGGGCCAAAUGGCCUAAUUUUGCUCCUAUGUCUUAUCGUCUUAAGUCUCUUCUGCACCCCCUCCAAAACCUCCAUAUCCUUUCCAUAAUGGGCCGAUCAGAAUUGCACACAAUACUCCAAGUGCGGCCUAAGCAAAAUUUCAUACAGCUUCAUACAUGGCUUUUUUUUAACUCUUAUACUCAAUGCCCCAACUGAUGAAGAUAAGCAGCUUAAGGGCCUUCUUUACCAUCCUAUCUACUUGCGUGGCCACUUUCAGGAAGGUAUGGACUUGGAUCCUAAGAUCCUUCUGGACAUCAGUGCUGUUAAGGAUUCUGCCAUUAACUGUAUAGUUUCACCCUUACAUUUGACCUCCAAUGUGUAACAUUUUACAUUUGUCUGGAUUAAACUCCAUCUGCUAUUUCUCCAUCUAAUUCUAUAAUUGAUCUAUAUCCUGCAUUAUUCUUUGGCAACCUUCAACAAUAGCAGAGCAAGUGUCCCAUUAUGUUUCAAAGUACAUUAUGCAGCCAGAGUCCGCAAGUCCACCAAUCUUCGUGUCAUCUGUAAACUUGCUAACCCACCCAUUUACAUUUUCAUUCAAGUCAUUUAUAUACCUUACAAGCAUCAGAGGUCCCAGCACUGAUCCUUACAGAACACCACUGAACGUGGACCUCCAGCCAAAAUAAUAGCCUUCGACCACUACCCUCUGUCUUCUCUGGGCAUGUCAUUUCUGUAUCCAAACUACCAAGUUACCAUGGAUCCCAUGCACCUUCACCUUCUGGAUCAGCUUACCAUGAGACACCUUGUCAAAUGCCUUCCUGAAUUUAAAUUGGGCCCAAGCUCUGGGCAGAGCACUGGCUGCACAUUGUACUUUGAGACAUAAUGGAGCACUUGAUCUGCUAUGGUCCACCCUCCAUAUGAAUGUUGAAUUUCACAUCUGUUUAAGGCUGGCUCCAAUCUUGCUGGAAGGUUGGAAAGUCCAGCAGGCUGCAAGCCAACAGCACAAGCCUCUCAUUUCUCUGUCUGCAAAGUAAGAGCAACCAAGCAGUAAUCAGCAACAAAACAAGCACUGACGCGACAAAUAUAAUGCCCCAGCAGUGGCCUGGCAUGGCUUGGCACCCUCUCUUAGACACCCCUGAAGAAUUGGAUGAGUGAUGCCUUGUUGGGGGGAGGGGGAGGAGGGGAGAUGUUCUCACCAUUUGGAGUCAGCAUCUUUAUAAGAAAAUUCUGACAAAUCAGGACACUGGUAAUGAAAUAAUCCUUCAAUUCAUUGAUCAAGCUUCUGCUAUUUAAUUUCCUGAAGGAAUAUGCAACUAAACAUCACAGAUUCCCAAAUGCAAUUAAGCAAAAUGCUGCUGGCAUCCAUCCUUAUGUCUCCCAUUGUUCAAGUGUCACUGUCUCCUUAUUCAAGGCAGCAACUCCCUGAUUCAUUAAUGCCUGAAAAGGUUUUGGUGAGAGUUUAGCUCCAUUUGAGGUUCUCCUGCAGGAGAUUGGCUAAACCAACCCACUGAGAAAUGGCACCUAAAUUUAGGGCAGAUGAUCACAGGAAAUCCCCCCAGAAAUUUCCACAAACAGAUAAUUACUCAUCUCUUCUUCCUUUGAGUCAGUAUUCAGCACCCCAACAUACUACCUCAUUGGGAUGUCCCAUCAUUAUCCCUUGAGGCUCCACUCUUUGUGACAAAUCUAAUUUCAAUCAAAGCCACACAGCAAAGUAAAAUGACCCUUCAAAUUAGAAAGAAAUAAUCUCCAUGCAUGCCAAAAUAAAACAAGAUGUCUGCUGAAAAUAUCAGUCAGAAGCAUUAUGCUCAUUGCAGAUUAUAAGAGACAGGAAAAUUAUUCACCAACUGCUAUGUAAUUCAUUGGUAUUGAGAGACCUUGCCAUGCAGUGAUUAUAAUUAAAUCUGACCAGUUCUUUCAAAUUCCA